rnacentral:rRNA from 1 species
GACGAACGCUGGCGGCGUGCUUAACACAUGCAAGUCGAGCGAUGAAGUUCCUUCGGGAAUGGAUUAGCGGCGGACGGGUGAGUAACACGUGGGUAACCUGCCUCAUAGAGGGGAAUAGCCUUUCGAAAGGAAGAUUAAUACCGCAUAAGAUUGUAGUUUCGCAUGAAACAGCAAUUAAAGGAGUAAUCCGCUAUGAGAUGGACCCGCGUCGCAUUAGCUAGUUGGUGAGGUAACGGCUCACCAAGGCGACGAUGCGUAGCCGACCUGAGAGGGUGAUCGGCCACAUUGGGGCUGAGACACGGCCCAGACUCCUACGGGAGGAAGCAGUGAGGAAUAUUGGACAAUGGGCGAAAGCCUGAUCCAGCAAUGCCACGUGAGUGAGGAAGGCCUUAGGGUUGUAAAGCUCUUUCAGCGGGGAAGAUAAUGACGGUACCCGCAGAAGAAGCUCCGGCUAACUCCGUGCCAGCCGCCGCCGUAAGAC